rnacentral:rRNA from 1 species
UACGGGGGGAGCAAGCGUUGUUCGGAUUUACUGGGCGUAAAGGGCGCGUAGGCGGCCACUGCAAGUCAGUUGUGAAAUCUCCGGGCUUAACCCGGAAAGGUCAACUGAUACUGCAGGGCUAGAGUGCAGAAGGGGCAACUGGAAUUCUCGGUGUAGCGGUGAAAUGCGUAGAUAUCGAGAGGAACACCUGCGGCGAAGGCGGGUUGCUGGGCUGACACGUGACGCUGGAGGCGCGAAAGCCAGGGGAGCGAACGGG